rnacentral:rRNA from 1 species
ACGACGCUGGCGGCGUGCUUAACACAUGCAAGUCGAACGAGAGGACAAGAGAAGCUUGCUUCUUUGGAAUCGAGUGGCAAACGGGUGAGUAACACGUAAACAACCUGCCUUCAGGAUGGGGACAACAGACGGAAACGACUGCUAAUACCGAAUACGCUUGGGAGACCGCAUGAUCUUCCAAGGAAAGGGUGGCCUCUACUUGUAAGCUAUCGCCUGAAGAGGGGUUUGCGUCUGAUUAGGCAGUUGGUGAGGUAACGGCCCACCAAACCUACGAUCAGUAGCCGGUCUGAGAGGAUGAACGGCCACACUGGAACUGAGACACGGUCCAGACUCCUACGGGAGGCAGCAGUGGGGAAUCUUCCGCAAUGGGCGAAAGCCUGACGGAGCAACGCCGCGUGAGUGAUGACGGCCUUCGGGUUGUAAAGCUCUGUGAUCGGGGACGAACGGUCCGUAAGCCAAUACCUUAUGGAAGUGACGGUACCCGAAUAGCAAGCCACGGCUAACUACGUG